UGAGGAACAUGACCUUCGGCGGGGGAUAGCCGGCCCAACGGCCGGGUAAUACCGCGUACGACCACAUGGGGACAUCCCUGAGUGGUGAAAGCAGCAAUGCGCCGAUGGAGUGCCUCGCGGCCUAUCAGCUAGUUGGUGAGGUAACGGCUCACCAAGGCGACGACGGGUAGCUGGUCUGAGAGGAUGGCCAGCCACAUUGGGGACUGAGACCACGGCCCAGACCUGUACCGGGGAGG
rnacentral:rRNA from 1 species